UGAUUGGUGCUUGCAUCAUGAUUUACAUUUGAGUGAGUGGCGAACUGGUGAGUAACACGUGGGAAACCUGCCCAGAAGCGGGGGAUAACACCUGGAAACAGAUGCUAAUACCGCAUAACAACUUGGACCGCAUGGUCCGAGCUUGAAAGAUGGCUUCGGCUAUCACUUUUGGAUGGUCCCGCGGCGUAUUAGCUAGAUGGUGGGGUAACGGCUCACCAUGGCAAUGAUACGUAGCCGACCUGAGAGGGUAAUCGGCCACAUUGGGACUGAGACACGGCCCAAACUCCUACGGGAGGCAGCAGUAGGGAAUCUUCCACAAUGGACGAAAGUCUGAUGGAGCAACGCCGCGUGAGUGAAGAAGGGUUUCGGCUCGUAAAACUCUGUUGUUAAAGAAGAACAUAUCUGAGAGUAACUGUUCAGGUAUUGACGGUAUUUAACCAGAAAGCCACGGCUAACUACGUGCCAGCAGCCGCGGUAAUACGUAGGUGGCAAGCGUUGUCCGGAUUUAUUGGGCGUAAAGCGAGCGCAGGCGGUUUUUUAAGUCUGAUGUGAAAGCCUUCGGCUCAACCGAAGAAGUGCAUCGGAAACUGGGAAACUUGAGUGCAGAAGAGGACAGUGGAACUCCAUGUGUAGCGGUGAAAUGCGUAGAUAUAUGGAAGAACACCAGUGGCGAAGGCGGCUGUCUGGUCUGUAACUGACGCUGAGGCUCGAAAGUAUGGGUAGCAAACAGGAUUAGAUACCCUGGUAGUCCAUACCGUAAACGAUGAAUGCUAAGUGUUGGAGGGUUUCCGCCCUUCAGUGCUGCAGCUAACGCAUUAAGCAUUCCGCCUGGGGAGUACGGCCGCAAGGCUGAAACUCAAAGGAAUUGACGGGGGCCCGCACAAGCGGUGGAGCAUGUGGUUUAAUUCGAAGCUACGCGAAGAACCUUACCAGGUCUUGACAUACUAUGCAAAUCUAAGAGAUUAGACGUUCCCUUCGGGGACAUGGAUACAGGUGGUGCAUGGUUGUCGUCAGCUCGUGUCGUGAGAUGUUGGGUUAAGUCCCGCAACGAGCGCAACCCUUAUUAUCAGUUGCCAGCAUUAAGUUGGGCACUCUGGUGAGACUGCCGGUGACAAACCGGAGGAAGGUGGGGAUGACGUCAAAUCAUCAUGCCCCUUAUGACCUGGGCUACACACGUGCUACAAUGGAUGGUACAACGAGUUGCGAACUCGCGAGAGUAAGCUAAUCUCUUAAAGCCAUUCUCAGUUCGGAUUGUAGGCUGCAACUCGCCUACAUGAAGUCGGAAUCGCUAGUAAUCGCGGAUCAGCAUGCCGCGGUGAAUACGUUCCCGGGCCUUGUACACACCGCCCGUCACACCAUGAGAGUUUGUAACACCCAAAGUCGG
rnacentral:rRNA from 2 species